rnacentral:rRNA from 1 species
CAGAUUGAACGCUGGCGGCAGGCCUAACACAUGCAAGUCGAGCGGAAACGAGUUAUCUGAACCUUCGGGGAACGAUAACGGCGUCGAGCGGCGGACGGGUGAGUAAUGCCUAGGAAAUUGCCCUGAUGUGGGGGAUAACCAUUGGAAACGAUGGCUAAUACCGCAUGAUGCCUACGGGCCAAAGAGGGGGACCUUCGGGCCUCUCGCGUCAGGAUAUGCCUAGGUGGGAUUAGCUAGUUGGUGAGGUAAGGGCUCACCAAGGCGACGAUCCCUAGCUGGUCUGAGAGGAUGAUCAGCCACACUGGAACUGAGACACGGUCCAGACUCCUACGGGAGGCAGCAGUGGGGAAUAUUGCACAAUGGGCGCAAGCCUGAUGCAGCCAUGCCGCGUGUGUGAAGAAGGCCUUCGGGUUGUAAAGCACUUUCAGUCGUGAGGAAGGUAGUGUAGUUAAUAGCUGCAUUAUUUGACGUUAGCGACAGAAGAAGCACCGGCUAACUCCGUGCCAGCAGCCGCGGUAAUACGGAGGGUGCGAGCGUUAAUCGGAAUUACUGGGCGUAAAGCGCAUGCAGGUGGUUUGUUAAGUCAGAUGUGAAAGCCCGGGGCUCAACCUCGGAAUAGCAUUUGAAACUGGCAGACUAGAGUACUGUAGAGGGGGGUAGAAUUUCAGGUGUAGCGGUGAAAUGCGUAGAGAUCUGAAGGAAUACCGGUGGCGAAGGCGGCCCCCUGGACAGAUACUGACACUCAGAUGCGAAAGCGUGGGGAGCAAACAGGAUUAGAUACCCUGGUAGUCCACGCCGUAAACGAUGUCUACUUGGAGGUUGUGGCCUUGAGCCGUGGCUUUCGGAGCUAACGCGUUAAGUAGACCGCCUGGGGAGUACGGUCGCAAGAUUAAAACUCAAAUGAAUUGACGGGGGCCCGCACAAGCGGUGGAGCAUGUGGUUUAAUUCGAUGCAACGCGAAGAACCUUACCUACUCUUGACAUCCAGAGAACUUUCCAGAGAUGGAUUGGUGCCUUCGGGAACUCUGAGACAGGUGCUGCAUGGCUGUCGUCAGCUCGUGUUGUGAAAUGUUGGGUUAAGUCCCGCAACGAGCGCAACCCUUAUCCUUGUUUGCCAGCGAGUAAUGUCGGGAACUCCAGGGAGACUGCCGGUGAUAAACCGGAGGAAGGUGGGGACGACGUCAAGUCAUCAUGGCCCUUACGAGUAGGGCUACACACGUGCUACAAUGGCGCAUACAGAGGGGCGGCCACUUGCGAAAGUGAGCGAAUCCCAAAAAGUGCGU